rnacentral:rRNA from 1 species
GAUGAACGCUGGCGGCGUGCCUAAUACAUGCAAGUCGAGCGAACAGACGAGGAGCUUGCUUCUCUGACGUUAGCGGCGGACGGGUGAGUAACACGUGGAUAACCUACCUAUAAGACUGGGAUAACUUCGGGAAACCGGAGCUAAUACCGGAUAAUAUAUUGAACCGCAUGGUUCAAUAGUGAAAGACGGCUUUGCUGUCACUUAUAGAUGGAUCCGCGCCGCAUUAGCUAGUUGGUAAGGUAACGGCUUACCAAGGCAACGAUGCGUAGCCGACCUGAGAGGGUGGUCGGCCACACUGGAAGUGAGACACGGUCCAUGCGCCUACGGGAGGCAGCAGUAGGGAAUCGUCCGCAAUGGGCGAAAGCUUGACGGAGCAACGCCGCGUGAGUGAUGAAGGUCUUCGGAUCGUAAAACUCUGUUAUUAGGGAAAAACAAAUGUGUAAGUAACUAUGCACGUCUUGACGGUACCUAAACAGAAAGCCACGGCUAACUACGUG